rnacentral:rRNA from 1 species
CGACGCUCUUCCGAUCUGCCGGAGAGCUACUCCUACGGGAGGCAGCAGUGGGGAAUUUUGCACAAUGGGCGGAAGCCUGAUGCAGCGACGCCGUGUGGGGGAUGAAGGCCUUCGGGUUGUAAACUCCUUUCGUCAGGGACGAAGUUUGUUUGACGGUACCUGGAUAAGAAGCACCGGCUAACUACGUGCCAGCAGCCGCGGUAAUACGUAGGGUGCGAGCGUUGUCCGGAUUUACUGGGCGUAAAGGGCUCGUAGGUGGUGUGUUGCGUCGUCUGUGUAAUCCAGGGGCUUAACUUUUGGUUGGCAGGAGAUACGGGCAUUGCUUGAGUGCUGUAGGGGAGACUGGAAUUCCUGGUGUAGCGGUGAAAUGCGCAGAUAUCAGGAGGAACACCGAUGGCGAAGGCAGGUCUCUGGGCAGUUACUGACGCUGAGGAGCGAGAGCAUGGGUAGCGAACAGG